UAUGUAUUUAUGUAAUGCGGAAUAAAAAUCUGUGUAUCAUUUCAUUCGUCCAGUAACGAAAUCAUUCACUACCGACUAGCGACUUGUUUCCCGAGCUGGAAAUUUGCUACAGGAUUUUGGCCCAUAUUUUGCUAUAGUUUUGUGGAAAUUUUGUGCAUACGCCAUGGCUCAAAAUUUUGGAAAGAGGUUGCUGCAAAUACUUUUAGCACUUUUUGUGCUGGCAGUUUUCGUCCAAGAUGUGGUCGGACAAGGCACCCAGGACCAAAAUUGUCAACAGAGUGACACCAUCCUUGAAGGGACGUUUUGCACUGAUUCAGCCUGUGCUAUUGCCGAGGUUCCUCUAGGAUCUGGUUGGUGCGAAGAUGGACUUCAUUGCUGCUACUCGUAGAAAGUAAAACUUCUAAAACUCUUACUUAUUGAAUAUCCAAAACAAGAUUAGAAUUAUGCUAAAAUUAUUUAUUAAAAUUAAAGGACUGUCAAUUAAAUAAUGUUUAAAUAGCAAGGAUUUGGUUUGGUUAACUAUAAAAAAUGGGGUUGUUAUCAUUUGUUCUAAUUAAGCUAAAAAAUAAAAUUGAAAAGUAAGCUGAAA